GGAGAGGUGCCGGAGUGGUUGAACGGGAAUGAUUCGAAAUCAUUUGACGGGGUGACCCGUCCCAGGGUUCGAAUCCCUGCCUCUCUACCA
rnacentral:tRNA from 1 species